GACGAACGCUGGCGGCGUGCCUAAUACAUGCAAGUAGGACGCAGUUGCGAACGGGUGAGUAACGCGUCGGUAACUGCCUAUUAGAGGGGGAUAACUAUUGGCAACGAUAGCGAAUACCGUAUACUAGUAGAUGGACCUGCGUUGUAUUAGCUAGUAGGUGGGGCAAUGGCCUACCUAGGCGACGAUGCAUAGGCGACCUGAGAGGGUGAUCGGCCACACUGGGACGGAGACACGCCCCAGACUCCCACGGGUGGCAGCAGUAGGGAAUCUUCGGCAAUGGGGGGAACCCAGACCGAGCAACGCCGCGUGAGUGAUGAGGGUUUUCGGAUCGUAAAGCUCUGUUGUUAAGGAAGCGGUACUUAACCAGAAAGGGACGGCUAACUACGUGCCAGCAGCCGCGGUAAUAC
rnacentral:rRNA from 1 species